AUGAUUUUUUAUGGUAAUUUGUUUUCGAAAGGAGAAAGAAUGAAGGAAGGAAGGAAGGAAGGAAGGAAGGAAGGAAGGAAGGAAGGAAGGAAGGAAGGAAGGAAGGCAGGGAGGGAAGGAGGGAGGAAGGAAGGAAGGAAGGAAGGAAGGAAGGAAGGAAGGAAGGAAGGAAGGAAGGAAGGAAGGAAGGAAGGAAGGAAGGAAGGAAGGAAGGAAGGAAGGAAGGAAGGCAGGGAGGUAGGGAAGGAGGGAGGAAGGAAGGAAGGAAGGAAGGAAGGAAGGAACGAAGGAAGGAAGGAAGGAACGAAGGACGGAAGGAAGGAAGGAAGGAAGGAAGGAAGGAAGGAAGGAAGGAAGCGAAGGACGCAAGCAAGGAAGGAAGGAAGGAAGGAAGGAAGGAAGGAAGGAAGGAAGGAAGGAAGGAAGGAAGGAAGGAAGGAAGGAAGGAAGGAAGGAAGGAAGGAGGGAAGGAGGGAAGGAGGGAAGGAAGGAGGGAAGGAAGGAGGGAAGGAAGGAGGGAAGGAAAAAAGGGAGGAAUGAAGAGAGAAAGGAAGAAAGGAAGAAAGAGAGAAAAUGAAAAGAGGAAAGAGUGAAAGGAAGGAAAGGGGAAAGCGAAAGGGAGGAGAGAGACUCUAUGAUUCUAUUUUUAGAAGAAAACUCCUAUAGCUCUCCUAUAGCAGCAACCACUGGCAAGCACAGAUAUGGCUUUUGCUCCACAUAAAUAUUCCAAAUGCAUAGUUACUAUGGCAACCUUGGAAUUAUAGAGUAGAGGCUUCAGGGAUGUCAUGGAACAUUUUGCUGUAGAAACCCCACCCCUUAUCCCAGUAACCUGUGGCAGGUAUAUUCAUUUAUAACAUCAAUUAUGUGUGUGUGUGUGUGUGUGGGUAAACAAACAUAAUUGUAGAAGAGCAUUUCAGGGCUAGAAAGGACCUUAGGGACAUUCCAGCUCUACUUCUUCAGAAACCUGGCUCAGUGCUAUUGGUAACCACUACCCCUUAGGAUCAAAUACAAACUCCUUAGUUAGCAUGGCAUACCCUGGAGGUAUGGGUUUGAGGCAGUUGUUCUACGUGGCCAGUAGCAGACUCUGAAGCAGGGUAGGGGAAUGGCAGUCACUUCUAGGGAGUUAGUUUGCCCCAGGUUAGCAUCCUGGGACAAAGCCCCAUUUGCCCUGUAAUAGUUAUGACUGGCAACUUUUUUGAGCCACAGUCACUUUAUUUGUAAAUUAAGGAAGGCUGUACUAGGUGCUUCCUAAGAUUGCUUGUAGAGAUAACUAGGUGGUUCAGUGGAUAGAGCAUCAGGCCUAGAGAUAGGAGGAUCUUGGUUCAAAUUUGAUCUCCUAGUUUUUCUAACUGUGUAACUGUUUGCCUAACACUAGCCCUUCUGUCUUAGAAUUGUUACUAAGAUAGAAAGUAAGGACUUUUAAAAGAAAAAAAAAAGAUCACCUCUAGCUCCACGCCUACAUUCCUAUAGUGUCCCCACUGGAGACUGCUUACCUUUUCAUCUACUUCCAAACCAUAUGACUCAUCUUGACUGACAAUUUGAAAAUAGUUUUUGAGAAGAAAAAUGUAGGAAGGGGAAGGGGAGAAGGGUAGGAAAGGAAGUAGAGACUUGGGAACUCAAAACAUUAAAAAGCAAAGGUUAAAAAUUGUUUUUACAUGUAUUGGGAGAAAAUAAAACAACUUGAAAAAUAAAGGAAAAAUAGUUG
rnacentral:lncRNA from 1 species